GCAGAGGCAGAGGCAGGCCGCAGGCAGCAUCACCAUACUGUAAUUUUAUGGAGCAGUUUCCAUUUGUUUUCUGGUGUCUCUGAUGAAUGCAGGCAAGGCAUAUGCAGAAUUGCAAAUGCUGAUGCAGCAGGUUCCAUAUCAUAUCCAUGCAGAUGCAGAGGAGCAGAGCGGCAGAGAAAUGAUGCUGUGCUGUGCCUGUGCGUCUCCUCAGAAGCCAGAAGCAAAAGGACAAGGACUCAAGGCGGUGCAUUCAAUUCAAAUCAAUUCCAAUUCAUGGAUGUCUGGCUGAGCGAAGGCCUCAAGCCUGGUCGGAGGUGAGCGAGAGGCUGGGAGUCGGAGUCGGACGUCAGGAGACGUGAUAUAUUGAUGGGCGGAGAAGAAUUGGAAUGGAAUGGAAUCGGUCUGAAUCCCGGGCGUCAUUUGAGUUGGUGUGCUCUCAUCCAGACCGGGAGUUGAACCACCGGCAUGGCCGCUACGCUAGCUGCCUCCUCUUCCAUCAAAUCAUCAAACGGAACAAGAAGCGUCUCAAUGCUUCUUCUUCUGGUCCGUUGAUUUGAUGUGCACUUUUAGGCCCUGUUUAGUUCCCCACCUAAAAAUUUUUCAUCCAUCCCAUCGAAUCUUUGACACAUGCAAG
rnacentral:lncRNA from 1 species